rnacentral:lncRNA from 1 species
ACCCAGCGACAGACGUGCCAGUCCAUGGGUAAUUCAUGUGUACCAUGGUAUCACUGCCCCAUAGAUAAGUGGACAUUUGCAAGUGGAUGCGGGAGAUGGUCUGUUUGCUGCGACCUUAGCGGCGUUAAUACCUGCUACGCUGCUGGUGGAACGUGCCGCCGAGAGUGCACAAGCGGUAUCCACUCAAGUGCCAGAUGCUCGUGGGGCCUGAAGUGCUGCGUCCAAGUGCUAUUCUAACGACACUACACCACAUCCGCAAAGCAAACAUUUCGGAACGUUUCUUAAUGGAUAUCCACAAAGUACCCUUUACUACUACUUCUAUCCGGCUAAGCAUAAAACCAAACUAAGCUUAAAUAUUCAAAGCCGUACGUUUUCAAUAAAAUGAUUAUCCUAAAGUUGAAGUCAUUUAUCUCUUUUCUG